rnacentral:rRNA from 1 species
GAUGAACGCUGGCGGCGUGCCUAAUACAUGCAAGUCGAGCGAACAGACGAGGAGCUUGCUCCUCUGACGUUAGCGGCGGACGGGUGAGUAACACGUGGAUAACCUACCUAUAAGACUGGGAUAACUUCGGGAAACCGGAGCUAAUACCGGAUAAUAUAUUGAACCGCAUGGUUCAAUAGUGAAAGACGGUUUUGCUGUCACUUAUAGAUGGAUCCGCGCUGCAUUAGCUAGUUGGUAAGGUAACGGCUUACCAAGGCAACGAUGCGUAGCCGACCUGAGAGGGUGAUCGGCCACACUGGAACUGAGACACGGUCCAGACUCCUACGGGAGGCAGCAGUAGGGAAUCUUCCGCAAUGGGCGAAAGCCUGACGGAGCAACGCCGCGUGAGUGAUGAAGGUCUUCGGAUCGUAAAACUCUGUUAUUAGGGAAGAACAUAUGUGUAAGUAACUGUGCACAUCUUGACGGUACCUAAUCAGAAAGCCACGGCUAACUACGUG